GGCCCGGUGGCUCAGUUGGUUAGAGCGCCGCCCUGUCACGGCGGAGGCCGAGGGUUCGAGUCCCUUCCGGGUCG
rnacentral:tRNA from 1 species